rnacentral:rRNA from 1 species
AUAUUGGACAAUGGGCGAAAGCCUGAUCCAGCCAUGCCGCGUGCGUGACGAAGGUCUUCGGAUUGUAAAGCUCUUUUGGCGGGGAAGCUAAUGAUGGUACCCGUAGAAUAAGCUCCGGCUAACUUCGUGCCAGCAGCCGCGGUAAUACGAAGGGGGCUAGCGUUGGUCGGAAUCACGGGGCGUAAAGCGCACGUAGGCGGAUUUGCCAGUCAGGGGUGAAAUCCCGGGGCUCAACCUCGGAACUGCCUUUGAUACAGCAAGUCUAGAGUCCGGAAGAGGUGAGUGGAAUUCCUAAUGUAGAGGUGAAAUUCGUAGAUAUUAGGAGGAACACCAGUGGCGAAGGCGGCUCACUGGUCCGGCACUGACGCUGAGGUGCGAAAGCGUGGGGAGCAAGC